rnacentral:rRNA from 2 species
UUGGCUCAGGAUGAACGCUGGCGGUGUGCCUAAUACAUGCAAGUCGAACGCGUUGGCCCAACUGAUUGAACGUGCUUGCACGGACUUGACGUUGGUUUACCAGCGAGUGGCGGACGGGUGAGUAACACGUAGGUAACCUGCCCCAAAGCGGGGGAUAACAUUUGGAAACAGAUGCUAAUACCGCAUAACAAUUUGAAUCGCAUGAUUCAAAUUUAAAAGAUGGUUUCGGCUAUCACUUUGGGAUGGACCUGCGGCGCAUUAGCUUGUUGGUAGGGUAACGGCCUACCAAGGCUGUGAUGCGUAGCCGAGUUGAGAGACUGAUCGGCCACAAUGGAACUGAGACACGGUCCAUACUCCUACGGGAGGCAGCAGUGGGGAAUA